UGUCAUCAGUGUUCUGCCUACUAUUGAUCAGUCCUUAAAAGGAGUUACUACAUCUUCCUUUUCCUACCUUCCCUGAGAAGGAUCUGGAACCCAUCAGGAACUGGAACCCA